UACAACCUGCCUUGUUCGAUUGUUGCAGCCAUAUUUAUCCUACUGGUUAUGAAAUGGGAGCCUGAGUCCCUGGGUGGAUUGCAGACCUCCCGCAGGCACUGCCUGCGGAAGAAGGGAGCGCGAAGCCCACGGCAGGGCACCCCCCUGCUUGAGAAGAGUGGGUUAUAACUAGGCUGCAGACGGCAAGGCGGGUGUAU
rnacentral:other from 1 species